rnacentral:rRNA from 1 species
GAUGAACGCUGGCGGCGUGCUUAACACAUGCAAGUCGAACGGAAAGGCCCAAGUUUGCUUGGGUACUCGAGUGGCGAACGGGUGAGUAACACGUGGGUGAUCUGCCCUGCACUUCGGGAUAAGUUUGGGAAACUGGGUCUAAUACCGGAUAGGACCACCUUCUGGAUGGUGUGGUGGAAAGUUUUUCGGUGUGGGAUGAGCUCGCGGCCUAUCAGCUUGUUGGUGGGGUGAUGGUCUACCAAGGCGUCGUCGGGUAGUCGGCCUGUGAGGGUGUACGGCCACAUUGGGGCAGAGAUACGGCCCAGACACCUACAGGAGGCAGCAGAGGGGAGUAUAGCACAAUAGGCGCGAGCCUGAUACAGCGACGCGGCGUGGGGGGUGACGGGCUUCGGGUUGUAAACUCCUUUCGCUAGUGACGAGGCGUUUUUGUGACGGUACCUGGAGAAGAAGCACCGGCUAACUACGUG